UACAGAGGGGGCGAGCGUUGUUCGGAAUUACUGGGCGUAAAGGGCGCGUAGGCGGCCUGCUAAGUCGAACGUGAAAUCCCCGGGCUCAACCCGGGAACUGCGUCCGAUACUGGCAGGCUUGAAUCCGGGAGAGGGAUGUGGAAUUCCAGGUGUAGCGGUGAAAUGCAUAGAUAUCUGGAGGAACACCGGUGGCGAAGGCGGCAUCCUGGACCGGUAUUGACGCUGAUGCGCGAAAGCCAGGGGAGCAAACGGG
rnacentral:rRNA from 1 species